rnacentral:rRNA from 1 species
UACGUAGGGUGCAAGCGUUGUCCGGAAUUAUUGGGCGUAAAGAGCUCGUAGGCGGUCUGUCGCGUCUGCUGUGAAAACCUAGGGCUUAACUCUGGGCGUGCAGUGGGUACGGGCAGGCUAGAGUGCGGUAGGGGGAGACUGGAAUUCCUGGUGUAGCGGUGAAAUGCGCAGAUAUCAGGAGGAACACCGGUGGCGAAGGCGGGUCUCUGGGCCGAUACUGACGCUGAGGAGCGAAAGCGUGGGGAGCGAACAGG